GAUGAACGCUGGCGGCAUGCUUUACACAUGCAAGUCGAGCGGCAGCGCGGGGGCAACCCUGGCGGCGAGCGGCGAACGGGUGAGUAAUGCAUCGGAACGUACCCUGGAGUGGGGGAUAACGCCGCGAAAGCGGCGCUAAUACCGCAUAUGCUCUGAGGAGGAAAGUGGGGACCGCAAGGCCUCACGCUCUGGGAGCGGCCGAUGUCCGAUUAGCUAGUUGGUGAGGUAAAGGCUUACCAAGGCGACGAUCGGUAGCGUGGUCUGAGAGGAUGAUCAGCCACACUGGGACUGAGACACGGCCCAGACUCCUACGGGAGGCAGCAGUGGGGAAUUUUGGACAAUGGGGGCAACCCUGAUCCAGCCAUGCCGCGUGAGUGAAGAAGGCC
rnacentral:rRNA from 1 species